rnacentral:rRNA from 1 species
AACGAACGCUGGCGGCAUGCCUAACACAUGCAAGUCGAACGAGACCUUCGGGUCUAGUGGCGCACGGGUGCGUAACGCGUGGGAAUCUGCCCUUCGAUUGGGAAUAACUGAGAGAAAUUUCAGCUAAUACCUUAUAAUGUCUUCGGACCAAAGAUUUAUCGCCGAGGGAUGAGCCCGCGUAGGAUUAGGUAGUUGGUGGGGUAAUGGCCUACCAAGCCGACGAUCCUUAGCUGGUCUGAGAGGAUGAUCAGCCACACUGGGACUGAGACACGGCCCAGACUCCUACGGGAGGCAGCAGUGGGGAAUAUUGGACAAUGGGCGAAAGCCUGAUCCAGCAAUGCCGCGUGAGUGAUGAAGGCCUUAGGGUUGUAAAGCUCUUUUACCCGGGAUGAUAACGACAGUACCGGGAGAAUAAGCUCCGGCUAACUCCGUG